rnacentral:rRNA from 1 species
GACGAACGCUGGCGGCGUGCUUAACACAUGCAAGUCGAACGGGAAGGCCCUGCUUUUGUGGGGUGCUCGAGUGGCGAACGGGUGAGUAACACGUGAGUAACCUGCCCUUGACUUUGGGAUAACUUCAGGAAACUGGGGCUAAUACCGGAUAGGAGCUCCUGCUGCAUGGUGGGGGUUGGAAAGUUUCGGCGGUUGGGGAUGGACUCGCGGCUUAUCAGCUUGUUGGUGGGGUAGUGGCUUACCAAGGCUUUGACGGGUAGCCGGCCUGAGAGGGUGACCGGCCACAGUGGGACUGAGAUACGGCCCAGACUCCUACGGGAGGCAGCAGUGGGGAAUAUUGCACAAUGGGCGGAAGCCUGAUGCAGCAACGCCGCGUGCGGGAUGACGGCCUUCGGGUUGUAAACCGCUUUCGCCUGUGACGAAGCGUGAGUGACGGUAAUGGGUAAAGAAGCACCGGCUAACUACGUG